rnacentral:rRNA from 1 species
CACGUAGGGCGCAAGCGUUGUCCGGAAUUAUUGGGCGUAAAGAGCUCGUAGGCGGACUGUCACGUCUGCUGUGAAAACCCGGGGCUUAACCCUGGGCUUGCAGUGGAUACGGGCAGACUAGAGGCAGGUAGGGGAGAAUGGAAUUCCCGGUGUAGCGGUGAAAUGCGCAGAUAUCGGGAGGAACACCGGUGGCGAAGGCGGUUCUCUGGGCCUUACCUGACGCUGAGGAGCGAAAGCGUGGGGAGCGAACAGG